rnacentral:rRNA from 1 species
GACGAACGCUGGCGGCGUGCUUAACACAUGCAAGUCGAACGGAAAGGCCUAGCUUGCUGGGUACUCGAGUGGCGAACGGGUGAGUAACACGUGGGUGAUCUGCCCCUGACUUUGGGAUAAGCCUGGGAAACUGGGUCUAAUACCGGAUAGUACCUUCAGCUGCAUGGUUGUUGGUGGAAAGUUUUUUCGGUUGGGGAUGGGCCCGCGGCCUAUCAGCUUGUUGGUGGGGUAAUGGCCUACCAAGGCGACGACGGGUAGCCGACCUGAGAGGGUGAUCGGCCACACUGGGACUGAGACACGGCCCAGACUCCUACGGGAGGCAGCAGUGGGGAAUAUUGCACAAUGGGCGGAAGCCUGAUGCAGCGACGCCGCGUGAGGAUGACGGCCUUCGGGUUGUAAACCUCUUUCACCAGGGACGAAGCGUGAGUGACGGUACCUGGAGAAGAAGCACCGGCCAACUACGUGCCAGCCGCCGCGGUAAUAC